GACGAACGCUGGCGGCGUGCUUAACACAUGCAAGUCGAACGGAAAGGCCCUGCUUUUGUGGGGUGCUCGAGUGGCGAACGGGUGAGUAACACGUGAGUAACCUGCCCUUGACUUUGGGAUAACUUCAGGAAACUGGGGCUAAUACCGGAUAGGAGCUCCUGCUGCAUGGUGGGGGUUGGAAAGUUUCGGCGGUUGGGGAUGGACUCGCGGCUUAUCAGCUUGUUGGUGGGGUAGUGGCUUACCAAGGCUUUGCCGGGUAGCCGGCCUGAGAGGGUGACCGGCCACAUUGGGACUGAGAUACGGCCCAGACUCCUACGGGAGGCAGCAGUGGGGAAUAAUGCACAAUGGGCGGAAGCCCGAUGCAGCAACGCCGCGGGCGGGAUGACGGCCUUCGGGUUGUAAACCGCUUUCGCCUGUGACGAAGCGUGAGUGACGGUAAUGGGUAAAGAAGCACCGGCUAACUACGUG
rnacentral:rRNA from 1 species